GGCGCCUUCUGGGUAGUGUAGUUUGGGAGCCCGUGGAGCGCGCUGCCUCAGAAUGAAGGUCCUCCUAGACUUUGGGGGUGAAGAGCCAGAACGUGAGCGGCGCCGGGAAAUGGAGCUCCGGGGCUGUAAACUGGGAAGGGCGACAAUGGGGCUGUAAGGAGCCCUACCGGAUGUCCUUGGGAUGCAGUCUAGGACGUCACAGAUAUGUUUACAAACCCAUUCUUUCCAAUUGUGUGAAUCGGAGCAAAUUUCCAAAGGGUAUACAUACAGUGGACACCGUAUACCAUCGUGUCACUUGGCGUCCGCUCAUCCUGGUGAAAAAAUGUUAGGAUCUCACUGAAGAUUGAGCCAGAGGCAGUGAAGUUGGAGAAGUCAGAGAAUGAAGCUGAACCCACAGCUGUGCUGAAACCUGGACCACACUCAGGGUUUGAUCUCCAAAAUGCGGCUCUUUUUGAAAUUUGAAAACAUGAACAGCUUGGUAGAAAUAUUUGGUAGUAGAAAUAAUUACGGUUUCUGGAAAUAUGAAAAUGAAUAGGGAAGCUGUAUUGUCAUGUGCUGCUCUAACAAAUAUUCAAUAAUCACCAUUUGGGUUUUAGACACAAGAGCAGAUACAUAGGAUGUGGGGAAUAGGGUUGCUCUGUGUAUGCUGUGCAUGUCCUGUAUUAAAUGACUUUGUUCUGGGUCCUGUAUUUAUCUUGUAAAGAGAUCAUAAAUCCUAUAUUUGCGUUUUUUUUUUUU